rnacentral:lncRNA from 13 species
AGGGGAGUUACGAUAGCGUGCCUGUAAUGGAAUGUAUCUGCUGUUUGUACACAACUAUGUCCCUUCCUGUUCCCUGUUUAAGAGGUGGUGACCACUCCACUACCACUGUCAACUCUCUCCUGACAGUGAAGCCACGUCUCAUGUGCCCACUCAUCCACUGGCACCAUGAAUGUUUCUUCUCCAAGCUCUUCAAAUCUUGUCCUGUCCUCAGUGGAAGAGUUGAGCUCUUCUCCUUCCCUAUCCAUCAAUGAUGCGCCUGUCCUGCACUCAAGCAUCUGAACACCUCAACUCAUGCUGCAUACCCUCAUUCAUUCACUGCUGUGAUCCCUUCCCAACAAUGUGUAAGUAGCCCUCUCAUUCCCAUUCCCCAUAAUAUUGUACAGUCUUUAUUAAAUGCUUUAGGUUAAAAUAAUAAUAAGUCUUUGACACAUUUUUAAACACGCUUUGUCGUCUCCGUGCGUUUCACACCCAUACCCUGGGUCUCCCAUCCUCUUAAUUUUCACCAGCCUCCACUGGAUUCAGAUAUAUUUACUGCUGAACAUAGCUAUAUAAUUGUGUGAUCUCGCUCGCCGUAGCCAAUGUGAGUAAGACCUUUUAACAGGAUAACAUUCACAAAACUGCAGGGCCAGACGGAUUACCAGGAUGCCCACUCAGAGCAUGCGCUGACCAGUUGGCAAGUGUCUUCACUGACAUUUUCAACCUCUCCCUGAGACAGUCUGUAAUACCUACAUCAGGGCUGCCCAACCCUCUUCCUGGUGAUCUACUGUCCUGUAGGUUUUCAGUGCAACCCUAAUCUGAUUCAGCUAGUUAAGGUUUUGUUGAGCAGCUAAUUAGUAGAAUCAGGUGUAUUAAAUUAGGGUUGGACUGAAAUCCCACAGGGCGGUAGAUCUCCAGGAAGAGUGUUGGGCAGCCCUGACCUACAUGUUUCAAGCAGACCACCUUAGUCCUUGUGCCCAAGAACGCCAAGGUAACCUGUCUAAAUGACUAUCGCCCCAAAGCACUCACAUCUGUAGCCAUGAAAUGCUUUGAAAGGCUGGUCACAUCAACACCAUCAUCUCAGACCUUGUGUUUUAGGUUAUUGUCCCAUUAAAAAAGUAAAUUAAUCUCCCAGUGUCUGGUGGGAAACCAGACUGAACAAUCCUUCUAGGAUUUUGCCUAUGCUUAACUCCAUUCCAUUUAUUUUUUAUCCUAAAAAACUCCCCAGACCUUAACGAUUACAAGCAUACCCAUAACAUGAUGAAGCCACCACUCUGCUUAAAAAUAUGGAGAGUGGUACUCAGUAAUGUGUUGUAUUGGAUUUUCCCCAAACAUA